GAAAUGCGAUAAGUAAUGUGAAUUGCAGAAUUCAGUGAAUCAUCGAAUCUUUGAACGCACAUUGCGCCCGCCAGUAUUCUGGCGGGCAUGCCUGUCCGAGCGUCAUUUCAACCAUCAAGCCCCCGGGCUUGCGUUGGGGACCUGCGGCUGCCCGCAGGCCCUGAAAACCAGUGGCGGGCUCGCUGUCACACCGAGCGUAGUAGCAAUCACCUCGCUCAGGGCGUGCUGCGGGUUCCGGCCGUUAAACAGCCUUACAAAACCCAAGGUUGACCUCGGAUCAGGUAGGAAGACCCGCUGAACUUAAGC
rnacentral:misc_RNA from 1 species